GCAACCGGCAAAAGUAAAAAGUUACUUCCGAAGUUUAGAGGACCUUUUAAAAUAAGUGCUGUUCUCAAAAAUGACCGCUACGAGAUCUCUAGCAUCGAAGGUCACACUAAACGGAAAUAUAAAAGUAUUUACUCUGCAGACGCUUUAAAAAAGUGGAUUACUUUUAACACCCCUGAUGACAAUGUACUCGAAAAUGAUCCCAGCAGCUCGGACAGCUCGAGCUAAAAUUUAAUAAUAAUAGAUGUGAUAUACCAACUAACAUCCUAAACAUUAUAUUCCUUGCAUCCUUUACAUGCGCCUUUAUUGUAAAUCGUAUUUUAUGUAUUAUUAUAAUUAUGUCCCCACCACCUUCCUAUAACUAGAUGACCCAGGCGAGCAAACACAAUGGAUCCGCUGAUGGAGUACCUACUACUGUUUGAUGGCCUAUGAAAGGAAUAAAAAGGAAUCCCACAACCAGCAGCAGACAGUGGCAGUACACUCCAGAAGAACGUGAUAUAUGUACAAGUGUCGGUGGAAAUCUAGCCUGUAGUGUCACUGAUAUUAUUUACCUACUAAAAAAAAAAAUCACAAUGAUAUUAAUUUUGUAUAAGUAGUUGAUUAGUGCCUAUGAGUAGAUCAAAUUAUCAAAUCAAAUGUAAAUAUUCAAAUUUGUAAGGGAUAGGUAUUUAAUUUAUGCACUCUGUUAUGUAAUUAUUUGAUUUAAACAAUAACUUGCAUUAUAAUGAUGAUUAUGAUUUAAAUUUAGUUUGUAUGGGGUCAUACAGUUGCACAUUCGAAUGGCCGGACCGGAAUAGGGUCAUUCCGAAUACAGGACGGCCGUCUGUUAGCAAUAUCAAUAAUAAUUUGUUAUUUAUCUUAAUUUCAGGAGGAUAUUUUAUGCUGUUUUAUUACUUUAUUAGUAUUUUAUAAAUUAUUAUUUAUUUAAUGUUAUCUGAAUCAUUUUAAUAUCGGCAAUUGUAAAAGUUAGGUGUAGCAACACUAAUUUUGAAUUGGCGGCCAUUCGUGGUACUGUGUCGGCACGACAAGGUGAUACUUACAAAAAUUGUAUGUGUUUUGAAGAAAUAAAACGUAAUCAGUGUGAA